GAUGAACGCUAGCUACAGGCUUAACACAUGCAAGUCGAGGGGCAGCAUGGAAGAAGCUUGCUUCUUCUGAUGGCGACCGGCGCACGGGUGCGUAACGCGUAUCAAACCUGCCUCAUACUCGGGGAUAGCCUUGCGAAAGUAAGAUUAAUACCCGAUGUUGUUAUGUUACCGCAUGGUGAUAUAACCAAAGAUUUAUCGGUAUGAGAUGGUGAUGCGUCCGAUUAGGUAGUAGGCGGGGUAACGGCCCACCUAGCCUUCGAUCGGUAGGGGUUCUGAGAGGAAGGUCCCCCACACUGGAACUGAGACACGGUCCAGACUCCUACGGGAGGCAGCAGUGAGGAAUAUUGGUCAAUGGACGGAAGUCUGAACCAGCCAAGUAGCGUGCAGGAUGACGGCCCUCCGGGUUGUAAACUGCUUUUAGUUGGGAAUAAAAAAGAGGACGUGUCCUCUAUUGUAUGUACCUUCAGAAAAAGGACCGGCUAAUUCCGUGCCAGCAGCCGCGGUAAUACGGAAGGUCCAGGCGUUAUCCGGAUUUAUUGGGUUUAAAGGGAGCGUAGGCGGAUUAUUAAGUCAGUGGUGAAAGACGGUGGCUCAACCAUCGUUAGCCAUUGAAACUGGUAGUCUUGAGUGCAGACAGGGAUGCUGGAACUCGUGGUGUAGCGGUGAAAUGCUUAGAUAUCACGAUGAACUCCGAUCGCGAAGGCAGGUGUCCGGGCUGCAACUGACGCUGAGGCUCGAAAGUGUGGGUAUCAAACAGG
rnacentral:rRNA from 1 species